UAAAAAAGAACUACAUUUUCCCAGAGCUCACUGACUUCCUGUUAUGUAUUUCCUGUAGACAGGGGAUAAAUAUGGAGUGGGCAGUCCUGCCCUACUCUUUUUGGCAUGAUGACAUUGAGCUUGGUGGCAAUGACUUUCUUCCCUUUGGAGAUGUCCCCUUGAAGAAAAUGUGGAAUUUAUCUUCUCAUAAGAAAUUAGGAAUCAGAAGAUCAAGGAUCUCUUCUUUUUCAAACUUCUGACAAUUCUGCAUCUUAGACUAUGUGUCUGUAUGAGGUAUUUGUAGAAAUGGUGUGGAAAUACAACUCCCUCAUUUUAUAGAUAUCAAAUCCAUUGAAUCUUGAGAUUUCUCCAGUUUGGAGGAAAGGAGAUGGAGGUCAUACUUUCAGCAAGGAGGACAGUGCCCUGCACAUAGUAGGGCUUAAUAAAUGCUUGUUGAUUGGUUGAUCA
rnacentral:lncRNA from 1 species